rnacentral:rRNA from 1 species
CCUACGGGUGGCAGCAGUGAGGAAUAUUGGUCAAUGGGCGGGAGCCUGAACCAGCCAAGCCGCGUGAAGGAAGAAGGCGCCAGGCGUCGUAAACUUCUUUUGUCGGGGAACAAAGGGCGCCACGUGUGGCGUUGUGAGUGUACCCGAAGAAAAAGCAUCGGCUAACUCCGUGCCAGCAGCCGCGGUAAUACGGAGGAUGCGAGCGUUAUCCGGAUUUAUUGGGUUUAAAGGGUGCGUAGGCGGCCUUUUAAGUCAGCGGUGAAAGUCUGUGGCUCAACCAUAGAAUUGCCGUUGAAACUGGGGGGCUUGAGUAUGUUUGAGGCAGGCGGAAUGCGUGGUGUAGCGGUGAAAUGCUUAGAUAUCACGCAGAACCCCGAUUGCGAAGGCAGCCUGCCAAGCCAUGACUGACGCUGAUGCACGAAAGCGUGGGGAUCAAACAGGAUUAGAUACCCGUGUAGUC